rnacentral:lncRNA from 1 species
GUCAUUUGGUGGGUUUUGAGUGAAAUCCAAUCUCUAGAACUAUACAAUACACCAACCACCCCAUUUCAGAAUGAACUUCGUAGGAACCUGAAUUGUCUGAUUUCAAGGACCAAUCGAUAUCGAAUUGAGUCCAAAACUUGGGGAACAUCAUAAUAUUGUGGGAGGAGUCAUUUGGUAGGUUUUGAGUGAAAUCCAAUCUCUAGAACUAUACAAUACACCAACCACCACAUUUCAGAACGAACUUCGUACGAACCUGAAUUGUCCGAUUUCAUUGACCAAUCGAUAACGAAUUGAGUCCAAAACUUUGGGGAACAUCAUAAUAUUGUGGGAGGAGUCAUUUGGUGGGUUUUGAGUGAAAUCCAAUCUCUAGAACUAUACAAUACACCAACCACCCAAUUUCAGAACGAACUCGAACUAACCUGAAUUGUCCGAUUUCACUGACCAAUCGAUAACGGAUUGAGUCCAAAACGUGGGGAACAUCAUAAUAUUGUGGGGAGGAGUCAUUUGGUGGGUUUUGAGUGAAAUCCAAUCUCUAGAACUAUACAAUACACCAACCACCCCAUUUCAGAACGAACUUCGUACUAACAUGAAUUGUCCGAUUUCAUUUGACCAUCGAUUACGGAUUUGAGUCCAAAAGCUUCGGGAACAUCAUAAUAUUGUGGGAGGAGUCAUUGUGGGUUUUGAGUGANNNNNNNNNNNNNNNNNNNNNNNNNNNNNNNNNNNNNNNNNNNNNNNNNNNNNNNNNNNNNNNNNNNNNNNNNNNNNNNNNNNNNNNNNNNNNNNNNNNNUUUUUAAACAAUCAUGCAUCAGACUCACGCGAUUAAAAUAUGAAACUAUUGAAACGGACAUCUAUAUAAAUACAAUUGCGAAAAAAUAUUUGUCAAACUAUGUAAGUCGCGCGUAGCGCGUGAUUAAAAAAAAGCCUCUCGCCCGCGCGGAAGCGCGUGCAAGGAGGCUAGUCUAAUGAACUUUAAGAGCUAAAGGGAUUCUUAUUCAAUUAAUCUAUAUAUAUAAAGCAAAAGGCAGAGAAUGGUGAAACAUUCAAAAUACCAGAAAAUGCCCUUUGUUAAUUCAAACAUUAAGAAUUAAAAUUAUUAAUUAAAUGAGGAUAAUAUGGUAAAUUCAUAUUUUUUAAUAUUAAAAAAUUUAAAAUUAAAAACAAAAUAAGAUAAUAGGUCCUACUUUUAUGGAACAUAACUACCCUGUUAUCUUUUAUUAAUUCUAAAAAUAAAAUAAAAAAGAAAAAGAAAACCAAUUGGCACAUGCGUGAGCAUGUGUCAAGGGGCUAGUGAUAAUUUAAACUACAACACUGGACGUGGUGCUGCAAUAAACCGCAUUCCAGUGGGGAUCUUGGACGUGAUAAUAUUAUCAUUGCAGAUGGACCAUGAGUAUGAAUAAUACGAUGACAAAUAUACCAUUAUUUAGAUUAUUUAGUCUACUCACUUACCUAAAUUUUCCUUUGCCCUUGAUUUACACUUCCCACCAAAUCAUCUAUUGAUCCUAACAUCUUGGACGACUGCUUAACUAUGAUUCAUACUAAAAAAAUAAAAUAAACAGUAAUUAGAAUGAAGCACAACAAUCACAUAAUUAUAUAGCCUCAAAAUACCUCACUCAUUCCAACUUGAAGCAAAUGCAAUUUAGGUAAGCAAAAGCAGAGAUCGAGAGAUAAGGAAAUUUGUUAAUUUGAUAACAAUAUCCAGAAGACACAAUAUGAAACUGUAAAUCUCCUUCUACUCACUACAAUGGGGUUGGCUUAACCAACAAAGUAGAAAAAGAAAUGCUACCAAGAGAUGAAAAAUAUGUUCAAUUGUUGUAACAAAUACCACUUAAUUCCAAAUCCAAGGUUUUGGCAACUACCCACUAAAAAGUCCAACACAAAUCAAUGGCCAGUGUGGAAACCCCUACAUCUAUUAGCUGGAGAAACAAAGGAAAACGCCAGAAAACAGAAUCAAAAUUCUUACUUUAUAAAUUACCAUAAAGAACUUUUUUUUUUUUUUUUGUAGAUACCAUAAAGAACUUAAGCAGACCAAGUACGUGAUUUACACCAAGUCAAAUGCAGCUAGCUGAUAAUAUCAUUAAACCCAGCAAAAUUAAUUCACAAAAAAAAAAUUCAAAAAUCCCAAACCAAAAUAUGAGAGAGAGAGAGAGAGAGAGAGAGAGAGAGAGAGAGAGAGAGAGAGAGAGAGAGAUUCAUACCAUUGACAUCAAACACAUCAAAUCUAAAUGCUUUCUUCAUUGGUGCUCUAGCGUAACAACAUCUAUAUAUAAUCAAAGAAAUUCCAUUAUGAUCAAAAAAUUAGAGAUUAGUGAUAGUAAACAGAUCAAAAAGAGGAAGACAUGGUCUAAUAUAUGAGAAAUUCAAAUAUCACAACAAAAAACAGGUUCAAAGAACAACAACAUUGAGCAAAUUCCAAGCAAAUUCCAAGUGGACCAUGAGUUGCAACCAUGCAGUAUCAAUUAGAAAGCAAGUUAAAAUAUAAAUAAAAAUAGCCUAACAGAUAUACGUUGCUUAUAAAUAGCAAUCUGUGAAAAUAAAAGAAGUCCAAAGCAGAGCAGUCAAUAAAAAAGUAAAUGCUCACUUUACGCAUUCACUCAAUUUCCCUGUAUUCUGACUCUAAACGAUCUUCAGAAUCAAUGACUUGUUCUCAUCCAAGUACUGCAGUAAAAUUUAAUGAAAUCCGGAACAAUUAAUUUAAACCCAUAUAUAUAUAUAAUCAAAGAAAUUCCAUUAGGAUUAAAAAAAAUUAGAGAUUAGUGAUAGUAAACAGAUCAAAAAGAGGAAGACAUUGUCUAAUAUAUGAGAAAUUCGAAUAUCACAACAAAACACAGAUUCAAAGAAACAUUGAGCAAAUUCCAAGUGGACCAUGAGUUGCAACCAUGCAGUAUCAAUUAGAAAGCAAGCAAAAAUAUUAUUAAAAAAAAAAAAAAAGCCUAACAGAUAUACGUUGCUUAUAAAUAGCAAUCUGUGAAAAUAAAAGAUGUCCAAAGCAGAGCAGUCAAUGAAGAAGUAAAUGCUCACUCUGCGCAUUCACUCAAUUUCCCAGUAUUCUGGCUCUGAACGAUCUUCAGAAUCAAUGACUUGUUCUCGUCCAAGUACUGCAAUAAAAUUUAAUGAAAUCAUGAACAAUUAAUUUAAACCACAUAUAUAUAUAUAUAAUCAAAGAAAUUCCAUUAGGAUUAAAAAAAUUAGAGAUUAGUCAUAGUAAACAAAUCAAAAAGAGGAAGACAUGGUCUAAUAAAUGAGAAAUUCGAAUAUCACAACAAAACACAGAUUUAGAGCAAGCAUAUUGAUGAAAUUACUUCAUCGACUCUUAAGCUACAUAUUUUUGGGGAAAAUCACAGCUAAUCAGUAACAACAACACUGAGAUUCAGAGUGAUUAACUGGAAUUUAGAAACAAAGGAAAACGCCAUAAAACAGAAUCAAAAUUCUUACUUUAUAAAUUACCAUAAAGAAUUUUUUUUUUUUUUGGGCCAGAUACCAUAAAGAACUUAAGCAGACCAAAUACUAUCUGCAACGUAGGUUGAACAUGUUAGAGCUAAACGGGAUUUGCUUGCAGAGGUUGCUAGUCACUGCAUUGUGAAACUCUACUAUUCCUUUCAAGAUGUGAAACUCUACUAUUCCUUUCAAGAUGUGAAACUCUACUAUUCCUUUCAAGAUGCUGACCACUUGUAUCUAAUCAUGGAGUAUCUACUGGUGGCGACAUGAUGACUUUGCUUAUUAGAGAAGAGACUUUGACUGAAAUUGUUGCAAGAUUUUACAUUGCCCAAAGUGUUAUGGCUAUAGAAUCUAUUCAUAAACAUAACUACAUUCACAGGUUGGUUUAUCCAGUUGUUUACAGGCUUGCCAACAUAUUAGAAGCUGGAUUCUCUUGAACAGCAAUAUUAUAUUAAUAAUUGUGCAUCAGGAAGACAUGGUCUAAUAUAUGAGAAAUUCGAAUAUCACAACAAAACACAGAUUCAAAGAACAACAACAUUGAGCAAGCAUAUUGAUGAAAUUACUUCAUCGACUCUUAAGCUACAUAUUUUUGGCGAAAAUCACAGCUAAUCAGUAACAACAACAUUGAGAUUCAGAGUGAUUAACUGGAAUUUAGAAACAAAGGAAAAAGCCAUAAAAGUGAAUCAAAAUGCAGAUACCAUAAAGAACUUAAGCAGACCAAAUACUAUCUGCAACGUAGGUUGAACAUGUUAGAGCUAAAAGGGAUUUCUUGCAGAGGUUGCUAGUCACUACAUUGUGAAACUCUACUAUUCCUUUCAAGAUGCUGACUACUUGUAUCUAAUCAUGGAGUAUCUACUUGGUGGUGACAUGAUGACUUUGCUUAUUAGAGAAGAGACUUUGACUGAAACUGUUGCAAGAUUUUACAUUGCCCAAAGUGUUAUGGCUAUAGACUCUAUUCAUAAACAUAACUACAUUCACAGGUUGGUGUAUCCAGUUGUUUACAGGCUUGCCAACGUAUUAGAAGCUGGAUUCUCUUGAACAGCAAUAUUAUCUAUAUAUAUAAAGCAAAAGAUCAUAUUAACAAUUGUGCAUCAGGAACAUAAUGUAACUCUUGCAUUUGUAUUAAUAAUUGUGCAUCUGUAACUCUUGCAUUUGUUACACCAAGUCAAAUGCAGCUAGCUGAUUAUCAUUGAACCCAACAAAAUUAAUUCACAAAUAAAAAAGAAAGAGACAGAGAGAAACCAAGAUAAAAUUAGCCAAAAUAAAGAAGAUUAAACUUCGAAAAUCAAACACCCAAAUUCAGAAAUCCUAACAAAUUCACAAAUAAGAAUGAAAGAGACAGAGAGAAACCAAGACAAAAUUAGCCAAAAUAGAGAAAAUUAAACUUCGAAAAUCAAACACCCAAAUUCAUACAAUCCUAACAAACAAUCUAAAACUUGGAAGAGCACGUGUGAUGACAAAAAAGAAAUAGGAUUUGAAAUAAUAACCUGAUACAUAACUUGAACACUAUCCCCCCUGUACGAAUUUAAAUCUUCUCUCUUUCUGAGUGUGAACCCUACCUCCUUUAUCUGAGCACAAAGGAUUUUUAGUUAUACCAACACCAACAAAAAACACAUCAUAAGAAAAGCAACAAAAAUUGGGGGAGACUAUAUUGAACCCAACAAAAUUAGAAAUAUACAUGCAUUAAGACAAAAAAAACGGAUGCUUUACCUUCAGUUACAGGAUAGCAGGUGUGGUGCGGAAUGAGAAAGGAAGUUUUUCGAGUCUGGCCAGUCUUUACACCGGGUGCUCUUGGGUGAUUACUCGCAAUUUCGAUUUCGAUUUCUGAAGCAGAAAAGGUGCCAAUGAAGUGGACGAAGAAAAAUAUAGGUAACAUGGUGGUGAUGGGUUCUAAAAUUGUGGAAACCGUCAGCUUCGUGGGUUCUGAACCCGUGCAAUUUUUCUCCACGUUCUUCAGCUUUUCUUCUUUGAGAGAAGCACAUCACGACUUAGGUUUGUAUAGCACGACUCGCUUUUUCUUUUUUUUUCUUUUCUUUUUUUUCUUUUUUAAAUCAGGGGUGUUUUACUAUUUCACCCUCUUUUAAUUAAAAUUGUGUGUUUUUUUUAUUUUUAACAAAGGGCAUAUUCGGAAUUUUUGAAUGUUUCACCAUUCUCUUCCUUUUGCUUUAUAUAUAUAGAUAGAUAUAAUAAACUCAGAUGAACAAGUAAGACAUUUAUAAUAAUAAUCCGAUAUCUAAAUAAUCCAAUACCAAUAUCCAAACAUCCCUUUUUCCACAACCAUAUUCGAAUUCCAGGCUGGCACAAAUAGUAACGUCAUUCAAUAUAAAAACAAGCAUCAAUUCGCACUAUCCCCUAACCCAAUUUAUAUCACAUAUAACACUUACCCUUUCCUUCCCUUAAUCUUGUACCCAUUAUCUAUAUAUGUAUAUAUCUAUAUUACACAAUUCACACCAUCAUCAUGUAUUACGAGAAAACAAUCCAACACGGGGAUCGUUUUAACUAGACCAUGGUAGAAUCUUCAAUACGCAUGUGGCUAGGGAAUAGCAGUCCAACCAGGGGACUAUUGCUUCCCAGACAUGCAUGGUAGAAUCGGCAAUACACGUGCGACUAAAACAAGUCUUACGUGCAUGGAAUGCCAGUCAAGGCCUAUGGCACACCCAGCCAAGGGUGCCUGGGUCAUCAACAUCUCACAUGUCGGAAAAUACCUCAACACACGUGUGGUUAUCAUCCAUAUCGAAUUAGGGAAGGUACAUAUAAUGGUGCAAUUCACAAACCCAUAUAAUAUAAAAUAAUAUUCCUUCCUUUAAUUCAAAUUCCCAAAUUCUCAAUAUUCAAAAGUACCGAAUCCUACUUACAUAGACAUCCGGACAUUAAUAGUGUCCAUAACGUAAUACCCAAUAUUUAUACGUAAUAUAGAUAUCAACUCUCAAAGGCAGAAAUUCCACAACCCAAAAUAUUCAUAAACUCCAAUAAAUCCAUAAAAUACCAUAAAAUUCAUAGUCUCAAUAAUCAAAAUAAUCCAAAUUAUAUAAAUACGCAAGACAAUUCAUAAAACACUUUAAUAAUAAACCCCAUAUCACCCAAACCAUAUAUUUUAAUAAAAACCAUAAUAACAAUAAUAAUCCCUGGAAACCCAUAUCACAUUCCAAUAAAAUCAUAGCCAAAACAUAUAUCAAAGCUCAAUAAACCAAAUAAGCCAAGUUCUAAAUCAAAUCUCAUUUAUGCAUGCAAUUCCAUAUUGGAAAAGUAAUGCUCAUUCAAAACAAUGUCCACUCACUUCCUAAUAAUCAUAGCUGAGUCCCAAGAGUCGCUUUCACAACCAAUCAAUCAAGUAUCUCAAAAUCAUAUAUUCUAUAACUUCAAAUAUCAGUAUAACAUCUGAUAACCCCUACAAUUAAAACAAUAAUAUAAUCUCAUAAUCCCAACAUAACUCAAAUAACUCAAAUAACAAUCAAGACUAGUUUAUAAGGUCAUUCUAGUACUUUUCGAAUGGUGAAACUACCUCGGAAGACUCAUGGUCAACUGAGGGGUCAAACUUCCCAUAUUGGUCAAUGGGGCCCACAGGGCCCACGACCUCUGAUUUCAUAUCAGAAAGUUCCUAUGAGUUCAACAAAGGCUACCCAACAAGUCCUGUAAGUUUGGUCUCGAUUGAGUAGUCGGAUCUAAGCCAAUCAUACAAUCGGACGACAAUUGCUUCGCCUAACCUUAGAAUAAUUGAUUCGGAGUAUGUGGGACUCCGAUUCUCGAUUCACGAGUUCCUACACGAUCUUAGAGGUACAAAGAAUGACAUAUUUGGAAUUAGGAUCGAUCGAACGGUCCGAACCUAUCGAACCCGAAUAUCACAUAUUGGGUGCAAUAUCAGUUCGACUGUCAUAAGGUAACUAAUUCCAAAUUCGAGCAUACCAUAGUGCUCAGGACGACAAGAGGAACAUUUUAGAACACAAUGGGCCACCACCUAGUGACCCAUGCCUUGCCACUCGUUGCUGGCAGCGCGUGGAUGUCUUGAGAAAUUUUCUGUGACGGAAAUUUCUCGAAACACCCUACCAAUACCUAUACCAAUACAUUCAAACUAACAGAGGGACUGGAUCGAAUCCAAAUCGUGAGCCCUAAGUGGGUGUUUUGAACGAGCUCUAAAACCUCAAAAUCGAUCCUAGAUGGCUAUACUAUCAGCUAGAGCACGUCAAACAGAUGAAGAGCCAUACCUUGGUCUACCGAAACGGUCAAUGGAAUCGCUGAAAACGGCAUCAAAAAAACUGUCAAAACUUUCAGUUGAUACCGUCAACUAUCCCAGUAGUUUCAAGCUACAUAAAGUACUGGGUUGUGUAGAGGAGAGGGAGAUGAAAAUUAGGGGUGGGCACGGUUCGGUUUGGACCGGUUUUUGCCUCAAAUUAGAACCGAUCCGGUACUAUUCAUCUGGUUUGGUUCGGUUCGGUUUUAAUUAAAAAAAUUUCAAAAACUGUCCGGUUCGGUUUGAACCGGUUUCGGUCCGGUUCCGGUUCCGGUUCGGUUUUGAACCGGAUUAUAAAAAUUAUUUUUUUAAAUUAUUUUUUAAUACAAUUCUCAACUGAAAUAUUAUUUUUUUACUUGAAAAUUAACAAAUUAUUCAAUUUCAUAUAAAAAAUAAAUAUUAAAGUGAGAAAAGAGAGAUAUUUUGAGAUUGAACUUGGAUAAAUAUUAGGUUUUUUUUAGUGAAAUUAAAAAUAUAGCAUUAAAUAUAAAUAUAUAUUGAAAUUAUAUAUAUUUUUAGUUUCACCGGUUCGGUUCGGCCCGGUUCGGUUUUUGAAGACAUGGAACCGGAUCCGGAACCGGUCCAAACCGGUUCGGUUCAGUUUUUGACCGGUUUUUGACUUUUUAGUCAACUCGGUUUUUUUCCGGUUUGGUUCGGUGCGGUUCGGCUUGGAUUUCCGGUUCGCCGGUUUGAGUGCCCACCCCUAAUGAAAAUUUUAAAACAAAUUUCGUUGGAUUUGGUCAUCAGAUGGCGAUGAAUUCAUCACCUGAAAAAGAGGCAUCACGGUGAAGAGAGAGAGAGAGAGUGAGAGAGAGCGAGAGAGAGAGAGAGAGAGAGAGUGAGAGAGAGAGAGAGAGAGAGAGAGAGAGAGAGAGAGAGAGAGAGAGAGUGACGACCCGUGAGAGAAGAAGAAUAGAAAUAAAGUUGGUUGGGAUACUGUAGCAAACGUAUUGUAAUGGUAUUGUUUACUAUAGUAACAAAUUUUAAAAUUUCGCAUUCGUCCUUUUCGUUUCUAGACCUUUACACGUUCGUUACAACUCAAAACUGAGUGUGCCACCUGUCUACGAACUCUUAUUGGUGAACUCUACACAACGGUGCCACUCAAUUCCCUAAAAUCCUUCUAAAUCAAAAAGUGACUAAAGUGCCCGUACUGAAGGAAACAUGCUUCUAAUGCUUAGGAAAUGAACUUUAGCUACAACCUAUACAACAAAACAUUCUAAAAGGCGAAUUCAUUUUGUUUAUAAAUUAUACUAGUUGAGCUAAACCUCAUUUUAAACCAAGUAUCUUAGCCUAGUCUCUUUGAACACAAAUAGAAAAGGGAAAAAGGGAAUAGUGUUAGAAAUAUGCCCUUAAAGCCAACUAAUUAUGUAAUAGUUAGAGUUAAGGACAUCUUUGAUAAGAGAUAUAUUAUGUUAUCAAUGGACAUCUUUGAUAUGACAUACUAGGUGAUUUAUACUAUCAAAGUUUGGUUGUAAAGUUUUUAGAAAUCUCUACACAACACCAUUCCCACAAUAUUUUCAGAUAUACUUGUUCAUAGUAAAAAUAAAAAUGAACAUAGGAAACACCUAUAAAUUAUUUUGAAAGAAUUUAUCGAUAAUGGUAUAGUCAUAAGUAGGAGUAAAGUAGAGCUUGAAAAAGAAGACAUAUAAUUUUUAGGUAUGUAUAUUAAGUCAGGAACUAUACAUUUACAAGAGCACAUAGCUAAAAAAGUGUUAGAAUUUCCAGAAAAACUAGAGGAUAAAAAGCAAUUGCAAGCAUUUUUAGUUUUAUGAAAUUAUGCUAGAAGUUUUAUCCCUGAUUUAAGAAGAAAGAUUGCAUCAUUGCAUAGUAAAACUAGUAAAAUAGGUCAAAAAUAUUUUAAUAGUGAAGAUAUUAAAUUAGUUCAACGCAUCAAACAAUAUAUAACUCAACUUAAACCUUUAGCAUUACCAUUAGAUAAUAAUUACAAAAUAGUUGAGAUAGAUGCAUCAUCAAUAGGAUGGGCAUGAAUUUUAUAUCAAAAGAAACAUAAAGAAGAACCAAAAUCUGAAGAAAAAGUUUGUAGAUAUGCAUCAGGUAAAUUUAGUGAUAUACAGGCUAGGCUUCUAGCUAUUGACUUAGAAAUUUUAGGAGUCAUUAACUCCCUUGAAGCAUUUUCAUUGUUUUUACAUAAUGAGAUAUUUACUAUUAGGACAGAUUGUCAUAAUAUUGUUUCUUAUUAUAAUAAAAUUACUACUAAUAAAAAAGCAGCCCGAAGACGGGUCAAUUUUGUUGAUUCUAUUACAGGACAUGGAUUUAGACCAAUAUUUGAGCAUAUUAAAGGUAUGGACAAUACUUUAGCAGACAUCUUAUCCCAUAUUAUUCAUUAACUGAUAUGCAAUAUUUUGGAGCGUCCUCCUCUGGUAGCAAAAAUAGUGGUACUCCAUCACAAGGUGGUAAUCCAUUAAGCAUAAAUAGUCAAGCAAGACCAAUAGUGAAUACUUAUUUUUAUAAUGAAAUUCCAGUACAAGAAGUUUAGAAAUCUUGCUUUAAAAUAUCGUACUCAAGCAUCAUUAGUAGAUAAACAAAAAGUUCUUUUAGACAAAUUUUGGAACAUUAGAACUAAUAAUGAAAGCAUGAGAAGAGGGCAUGAAAAAUUUAUUAAAGCCUUUAGCAAUAGUUUUUAGCAUAUAAUUAUGAUUAUAAAAGAGCAAAACAACAACUUUCUUUUUUGCAGGAAAAAUAUGAAGAGCAAAAGAAAGAGCAUGACACAAUAGUAAGAAAUUUUAGAACCAUUAAUUUAAGAUGUCAAAAUCUACAAGAAAAAGAGGCUAAUAAGCCCAACUCACUUGAGCAUAAUAGAGAAUUUUCCCUUGAACAAAAAGCUAAAAAUUCAUAUUUUCUUCAAACUCUAGCUAGAGAAAGGUAUAGAUUUUUACUAGAAGAUGUUAAGAGUAAUAUGAUUAGAUUAGAGUAUGAGCAAAAUAUAUCUCUUCAGUUAUACAUUCAAGAUUUUCUUUUUAAUUUAAAAAAUAAUCCACAUCCUGGUAUAAAAAUUAUUACCAAAAGCUGUUCUCAUUAUACUAUUUACUUAGCUAGUAUUUUGAAUAUAGAGAACCGCAUUUAGAGCAUAAACAAAAUAUUAUCACAAUUACUCGAGCAUUUUUAGCAGAAUAUGGUUAUUUAGGUCAACUUUAUAUUGAAAAUAAUGAUCAUUUAGAUUCAUUUUCCUCAAAAUUAGAAGAAGUCGUAAGUUUUUAUAUCCCCCUAUGGAAGAUUGUAAAAUUAGAUUUCACUAGCAUACCCUCAGAGUGGUUUAAGGAUAGUAUUUAUCCAGACAGAGCACAACAUAGUAUUAUUAUUUCUUAUAAUGAACUGCUUAGUCUAGCAGAAUCAGCAAAGACAGGGAUCCCUACUAAGCAGGACAUUCAAAAAUACAGAGGAGCAAUAAUAAUUGAGCAACAAUUGUCCAAUGAUGAUCGUCUAAACCUCCUCACCAAUCCAACCUUAUCAAGAUCUAUUCAGAGACUAUAUCCAGUAGACUAGAUGACACAUCUGAAUUCAGGAUAAACACGACAAGUACAAAAGUUUUUGAUGAAAUCUAUAGCCAGAUAGCAUAACAAAUCAAAGCAGAAGACAAUGACAACUCAUACUGGAAUAGCUUAGGAAAAGAAGAGUUACACAAUAUAGACAACAUGAUGGAAGCAUAACUCCAUGAGGAGACCUCAUCCUUUCACGUGAAGGAUCAUCCCAGCAGAUGAAGAAUAAUUUUCAAACCCUUUGGCUCCAUACGGCAUAAUCUAAAAAGAAGAAACCUUUUGGUUCCAUACGGCUAGCAAGAAACAAAUGGAUUCCUUAAGAACUCCAAAAAUAAAUAAGGGAAUUACUGUCCAAGUACAAAAUAAUUUGGCUUCUUUCAAAAUACUUCUUUUGCUUUUGACCUUUUCCAAAUGUCCCUUUUUUUAUAUAUAAAAUUUCUUUCAUUGCAAAAGAAGCUACAAAAUGGUACAAAUUCUGUAAGAAGUUUGUCUUUUUAUAAGCAUAGUGUUAUUAAUGACGUGAAAACAAUUUACACCAUAACUCCAAUUGAAUCGUAACUUAACUCAAUUUCAUUGUUUUUAUGUUUUAAUGGUGGUUUGUGCAUUGAAUCAUUUUUUUAAUUAGCAGUUUCCUUUAAUUGUUGGUGUUUUAGUUCGACUUUUUUUAACGUGUUAAUUUUGUUCAAUUUUUGUACUUGAUGAUUUGGGUAUCUAAUUGUGAUCUUAGUUGUAUUGUUGAAAGUUAUCAAAUCAGGUCGGCUUUGAUUUUUCGUCUACUUCACAAGAGGUAAAACAUUUUGGGUGAAAUAUUGGGUCGGAUGUCCACACACAUUGACAAGAAUUCACAACGUCUAGUUGACAUACCAAAAUUCUUCCGUGGGCUUAGAGGAUGACGUAGCAAAAUCAGGCCAGGAUUUUGAAGCUCCAGCCCACUGGGGCCCAGUGGGCCCACUUACUUUACUUUUGAUUAGAAAGUACCUUAGCAUUUGUGCAAGCAGAUAAGACCUCAAAACUCCAAAGAUCCAAUAAUACGAAUUUAAGAAAAAAUAAAUAAAUAAAUAAACUGGUAUUGCACAAGUUCUCUCUACAACUACAAUACACUAACAUACUCUGUAUCUCUCUCGGUCUCUCUUUUCUCUCCUGCUAAUCGGUGAGUCAGCUAAUACUCUCUCUCUCCUCAUAUUGAUGUGCAUACGCUGGGUUUUGUUUUUCCUCCUCUUUAGGGUUUCUUCAAUUCCGCGGAAAAUAUUCUUAGUUCCAGAAACUGAAUGGAAAAAGUCAAGAAAAUAGUAAGAAAGUAAAACCCAUAUAGCCAAACGUGUUUCUUGCUGAACAAGGAGCUGGAAGACGGCGACUUUACCUCAUUUUUCGUAAUUUUAAGUUGGAACUCUGCGCGUGUUCUUUCUUUAAUUUAGGAUUUAUCUUUCGUUUUAAUAGUUUCCUUCGUAUAUUUGAAUGGGUUAUUAUAUUAUCUGCUAAUCAUUUGGGGUUAUUAAUCAUUGUACCAACACCACAUCUCUGUUUGUAACUCUGAAUUCAACCGAAAUUUCCAUGAAGUACGCAUGUUGUAUAUCUGCUGUCAAUUCGGGCUGCUUUAAUUUUCUUAAAUUGUAUCCAGUUUGUUAACUCAUGGAUUUUCUCUUUGGAAGACCUUUGAACUCUCUGCUUGCGGUGUUUUGCAGUUAAAUGCUUUGAAGUGGGGACUGAUAGUUCCAGCUCCAUUUGUUUCUUAGAGGGUACGUGCCAGUUAUUUACAUUUUGACAUUAUGGCAUCUUCUCAUGGUAAUUCACACUCUGAAGCAGCAAAAAUGGAACAAAUAAUCACUGAAUUCUAUGCCAAAAGUCUCCACAUCAUCCUUGAAUCUAGGACUCCAUACAUGUCCUCACGUAAUUAUAGUGGUGAACAAGCCCUAUCAUCGCCAUCAUCAUCCUCAUCAUCCUCAUCGAGUGUGAGGCCGAGGGAUAAGUGGUUUAAUUUAGCUCUAAGGGAAUGUCCUGCUGCACUGGAGAAUCUUGAUCUCUGGCGCCAGAGCCAUCUUGAACCUUUGGUGGUUGAUGUGAUUUUGGUCCAGAGACCACUUGAUUGUGAGCCCGUGAAGUGUUCACCUAAAAGGGAUCUUGUUAGGAACUUGUCAUUGAAAGAGCGGUAUCCAUACUGUUGCAAUUAUGAGCAGGAGGAAUUUGGGUGUGAGGCAAAGAGUGAAAAGAUUAUAGAGAGAUGGGUAGUGCAGUAUGACAGUCGGAAGAUUAGAGAUACAAAUUCAGGGAGCAGGAGGUUGAGCAGUAAUACUUUACAUUCAUUGUAUAAGAAGUCGAUGUUACUUUUGAGGUCUUUGUAUGUCACUGUUAGGCUUUUACCUGCUUACAAAGUUUAUCGUGACCUCAAUUCGUCUGGCCAAAUUCGGCCAUUUGCUCUUACUCACCGAGUAGCCUCUUUUGCUGAGCCCUUCACUUGUAGAGAAGAGGCAGCAAUGCAGCGGUUUGGGUUCACCCCUGUGGAUACGGCUUGUGGCAGGCUUUGCCUUUCAGUGUUGUAUUGUUCAUCACUUUCAGAUGUAAGCUCUGAAUCAUCAACUCCUAUGUCUCCACAGCUUAUUCCGGACUAUGUUGGCAGCCCAUUGACAGACCCACUUAAAAGGUUCCCAUCACUUCCUGUGACAGGAUCAGUAGCACAUGCCUUUCCACCAUCUUCCUCAUUCUCUAGGCGACAUAGUUGGAGUUUUGACCAUUAUAGAGCUUCACCACCUUCAGUUUCCUUCUCACCUUCACCUACAUAUUCAGAACCACAUGCUUUAAUCUCUAACCAAAGUUCUCGUUUCCCACCUACAAUCAUGCCACCUCAUCCACCUGAAACAUCUCUUGUUUAUAAGAAGGAUACAAGCUUUGAUGAGUAUUCACCUGCCUUUUCACCCUCACCAUCGUCUGCCUCUCCAUCAUUGCCAAUCUUUAUUCCUGGGAGUCAUCAUUCAAAGCCUCUUUUACAAUCUGAGAGCGCACCAUUCAGUGAACGGACGGCUAAACUUGCUAAUUCCCCUGCAUUCUGCAACAAGCUAAAUUUGCCUCUUAGAGGUAUUGGAUCUGGCAGUUCUAAGACUGAUAAAACUGGGGGUUUUAUGGAGGCUGGUACUGCGGUUGAGAAGGUAUUGUAUUUGCUCAUCAUGGUGAAAUUUUCAUUUGAAUUUUUAUUUUCUUUAUUUAAGGUUUUUUCUUUUUCCAAUUUUGAACUGUAGUUUUCCUCCCUCGGGAAAGAUGAUGCUAGACAAUAUUCUGAGGUUAAAAUAUCAUCCAGCAGCUCCAGUAGGUCUUUCCCUGACGAUUUGGAUGAUUCUGACUUUCCUUGCCCGUUUGAUGUGGAUGAUGAGGAUGUGACAGAUCCAGGUAGCAGGUAAGAUGCAAAGUUUGUCAAGUGAAUCUAGUAUAUGUAAAUUACUUUUGUUUCUGCAAGUAUUUUGCAUAAGCUGUUCUACUUGCUUUCUCCUACUUGUUAGUAUCUCUCUGCAGUUAGUGUUGUUUUUUGUUUUUAGAAAUAAUUUGUAAGUGAAGCACAGGGUGGGUUGUUAUGUGAAAUAUACUCCAAAUUUGUAAGGGAGCAAGGAAGGGUAGGGUAGUUGCGCUGUCAAUAUGUUUCGUACAGGCUAAGUAAUGUGAGAUUGAUUAGUCAGAAAUAACAAGGGAACAUUCUACAAGAUGUAUUAUUUCUUUUUUUUUGGUUAGUUGGUUUUAAACUUAAUAGAUGAGUAACUCACAGUUGACACACAGCAUCUAAUGUGCUCCACCAUGCUUAGUAGAUGCCGCGCCACCCAUGUUAGUAGAUGUCCAUGAGGUGAUUUGGGGCAUAUGAGCAAUAAAUACAAUAUGUUUUCUCAAUGCAAGAGGGAUCCACCUUAAUUGUUGUGCAUUACACUCCUUUUCACCCAGAGGGCUUGAUAUUGCCGUUUGCAGUAGAAAUGUGUGCUAUGGAGUACAAAACACGAUUUGUUUUUAGCUAUUUGUUAACUGAACUUAUAAGAUUUAGCCAUAGGACUUGAUUCUGUUUUGCAAAUUCAAUUUUCUGAAAACCGGCAUCCUAGUUGGGCACAGGUUAGAAACACUGAAGGCUAAAAAUCUGCUUUCCAUAAAUUAUAUGUGGAUUAACUGAUUUCUGUUAACUAUUGUGUAAGAUAUUUGCUCAAAAUGGGUGAGAUAGAGAAACAUUUAGAAACCACCUAAUAGCUCUGACCUUCCCUACGUCUUCCGAAAUAUUUCCAUGCCCUCCGAUGAUUUGAGAUGAGCACCACAAAACCGCUGCUUCUGAAAUUUAAAUGAUCGUUUACGCUUGAAAUGACUUAGGAAUAGCUUAAAUAGGUGACCUGUUGGCGAUUGGUUGCAUAAUGGGCAUCUUUUUUUAUUUUAUUUUAUCUGCAAAAGUAAAAAAUAUAUAGAGGGUAUUGUUUGGUUCAAACUUCAAAUUUUAGGGAUGGGAUAAGGUUGAAGACCUGAAGUUUGUACUCAUACAGCACUCAUUAAGAAGGCAGACUGAUUCCGUAGAUAUGUGGUAUUUAUAUAUACAACCAAUGGUAGAUGAUAGUAUUGGAAACUCGGAAUUAGUUUCUUUUAAGUGCAUGGUAGUUUUUCUGCUUAGGAAUUUUGAUUGUUGAAUUUUAAUAUCAUUAAUAUCAUUAAAAGUAAACUCUCGCUAUGUAAAAAAUAUUAAUUACAUCCCAAACCGAUUCACUCCGAUUUGUGGGAUAUUCCUAACUAAUUGAUGCAACUGUUGGAAAUUAUGUUGUUUUUGUUCGGGAAGGAUGUGAUCUAUGUAGGAUUUUCCUUCCCUUUAUCAGUAGAAAGCUGUCCAUACAUUCAAGUGUUAUUCUUUUUGCAUGGAACUACAAGGAGUCAUCUUUUGUAUACUCAUCAAUUCAUAAGAGUAUGUAAAUAUUAGUCAUGGAGCUACAAGUAGUCAAUCUCAAGCUUCAAAAUCAUCAUGCACAUUAAACCAUUUGUAAAGUUAUUUUUGCUGAAAUAAGGUGUCUUUAGGUUAUGUGUGAGCCACUAUAUUCUCUGCAUUUGGUGUCUUUGUGAUCAUAGAGUUAAUGUGGGGCAUUCUUUUAGAUUCUCUUGUUUUGCUAAUGAAAUCCAUUUGCUGCUUUCAAAUCUAUUAAUUUGGUUUGCUAAUGUGAUAUGACCUUAUCUUUGUGCUGCAUCUCAGACCUGAAUCUUUUGGCAAAAAUGUACCUUUGUGUGAGCCACAUGUGCCUGGAGGGUUGUUUCCAAUUAAAAAAUCCCAAGAUGCUGCUGUUGGUGCGCUUGUACGAAUGUUAAGAAAAGCUCCACCUCUCCGCCAGGAUAACUCAAAUUCAGUAAAAUUUUGCCCCGAAAUCUGGGGCAACAGUAGCCAAGAGCCUAAUCAGCCUUUUAAGGGACAGGCAUCAGUUCAGCGUGAUGAUUCUUCAAGCGUCAUUUCCUCGGGGCUCAUUACAUCAAAAACUACCACUGUUGCUUUAGAAGAGCUCCAAAGUUACAGGGAGAUGAAAAAUUUGUUACUAGGGCAAGGUAGUAAGUCUCACAUGUAGUCCAAAAAUGCUUCUGCUGUCUUUCUGGAUAUAUGUACAGCAUUUUGGUUUUCAAGCGAUCAUGGUUUCAUGUGAUAUGGCUGAAAGAAUUAACUUUUUGGCGUCCACUUCCAUUUUGUACAUAUAUUUGAGAAAAUUUGAUAAUAUAAGUUACAAAGAUAAUGUAUAUAAUCCAUUGCAGGUUUUCCUCACUAACUUCUAUGUUGCCUUUUAUCGUAGUCGUGUAAUAAUUCUGAACUUUGGCUUAGCUGCAAAGUGGUAAUUUUCUUCUGUUUUGAUAUGCUUACUUUUUUCACAGGUAAUUUUCUUCUGAACUUUGGUUCACCGAGCAUGGAUUCCCAACCUCUGAAUUAGUUAACCAUAUUUCUUUGUUCCCUUUGUAACAUAGGAUUUUAGACCUAAUCAUUUUCAGGAUUGGAAUUCAAAAAGAGUCAUCAUGUACAUGCACCUCUGAAUAUUUUUCAUUUUUUUAGUCUCAUUUUAUAGGGAAUAGUUAUGGAAAGAUGUUCGUUUGUGGAUUAGGCCAUUCUUAGGCCAGUCAGAGGAAGUAGUGCCUCCUUCACCUUGCACUUGAUUUUGAAUAUCCUCAAGGUGUCCCCAGUAGGGGCUAGACCCAAGGCUCAACCACCAUGGGGCUCGACAAAUUAGAGGCAGGCAAAAAUAUUCAAGGUAAUUCUAUAGUGAAGGCCUUAUAGCUUGACAAAGUAGCUGAGAUGUGGCUGAAUAGACAUAAAGACAAAGCUUAUUUGUGUUUUUCGUUAAUGUUAUUAAAUAAAAUGUUGUGUUCGGAAUCUUGUCCAAAUUUUAAUUUUUUCAGGUUAAAAUGUUUAUAAAAAAAACUAACAUAACAUAAACCCAGAAAAAAAAGAACGUAAACCAAAUUAUAUCAUAAAAAAAUAGUCCCCUAAUUAUAAAUGAAAUUUAUUUAAAGCCCUGGGCUCUAAAUAGGGCUAAGGGCUUCCCCAAUGGAUUCUCUAAAAGGGGCUCAACCACCAUGGGAGCCUUAUAUUAGAGCCAAAUGCCAAAAAAAGCGCGGUUUGGAUCAGGUGAGAACACUUAUGUGCGAACAUUACGUGAGAACACCAUUGGAUCGUGAGAACACCGUUGGAUCUAAUCUAACGGCUGCAUCAAAAGCAAUUGUAAGUGUAAGUGUUGUAUUAGAACGAGGCCUUCUUCUCUUUCCUCCCUCCAAAACGUCGAGUUGAAAACAGACAUCCCCUCCAAAACAGACGUCCCCUCCAAUCCAGCUGUUCAGUUUGUUCAACUAAGUGGCCAAGUUUUUUAUCAGCUUUGAUUGAGCAAGACCAAUAACACUGAAGAGAGAGUGCCCCUAUUAUUCCUUAUUCGAUUCCAAGAAGAACAUAGAAGUAUAGCCCUCAUUUUUUUGGGUUUCUCAUUCAGGUGAAAGAAAGUGUUCGUAUAUUUUAUAUUAUCAUCUUUGUGGUUCGGUCUUUCUGGUCGGAACAUUCAUCAAUCCUUGAGCAACAUCUUGAGUUGGAAAGAACAUUCGUCAAUCCUUGAGCAACAUCUUGAGUUGGAAACUGGUGACCGCGACCGUUGUGCUGUUCUCUUGGUUUUGAAAUAGUUGAGCACGGUCGAAACAAGGGUUCAGGAAGAAGAAAAGUGUUCAGGGUUGACGUCCAGAUCUAAAAGGACGACAUUGUCAUAUUUGUAGAAAUUUUGAAGUUGGAAAUGACUCACGAGGUAAGUGAUAUACUGUAUUUGUCAAGUUUAUUAUUGGGCAUAAGCAUGAGUUACAUUAGUUUGUAUGUAGGUCUUUAAUAUUUCACAAGAGAAUCAUUUUCAUAUCAUAUGUUAGUUAACGUAUAUAUUUUAAAGCUCUUUAUACUAUACUUGUCAAGUUUAUUAUUGGGCAUAAGCAUGAUUUACAUCAUUUUGUAUAUAGGUCUUUAAUAUUUCACUAGAGAGUCAUUUUCAUAUCAUAUGUUAGUUAAUAUAUAUAUUUUGAAGCUCUUUAUACUGUAUUUGUCAAGUUUAUUAUUGGGCAUAAGCAUGAGUUACAUUAGUUUGUAUGUAAGCAUUUAAUAUUUCACCAGGGAAUCAUUUUCAUGUCAUAUGUUAGUUAAUAUAUAUUUUUUAAAGCUCUUUGAAAGCAUGUGCCAAUGUUGGUAUGAUGGUGGUGAAUUUAGGGUUAAAUUGCAAGAACUGUGAAAUGGAGUGUGAAGGACAGGUGACACCGGAAGUAAGGUCGGAGUUGAAACCAAAAUUGGGACUUGAAUUUGAUUGCUGUGACGAUGUGUUCAAUUUCUAUAAUAUGUAUGCUGCGGAAGCCGGAUUCAGCAUUCGGUGCUCUACAACGAGGACGUGCACAUUGACAGGAGAGGUAACAAGGAAGGAAUAUGUAUGUUGUAAACAGGGGUAUGCGUUGACAAGCACUGUUAGUCGUAAGAGAAGAUAGCGAGGCUGUACUCGAACUGGUUGCAAGGCUAAACUUGCGAUAUUGAAGGUGAAAGACAAGAAUAAGUACAUUGUAGUAGGAUUCAAUGAGGUACACAACCAUGACAUGACCACAGUUGAUAAAGUCCAUCUAUUGAGAUCUCACCGUAACUUAACAGAGUCUACAAAGGUCUAUAGUGCAAAUAUGAGCAAAGUUAAUAUUCUGGUACAUAAAUAGUUAAGCCUUCUUGAGGUGCAAGUAGGGGGAUUGGAAAAUGUUGGGUUUGUUAAGAGAGAUGUCUAUAAUUAUCUAAGGGACGUGCGUGGAGAGGUGAUUGGCCAUGAUGCAGAGCUGCUUAAGGAGCAUUUUAUGGCUAUGCAAGAAAAGAAUGAAUCCUUUUAUUUCAAGAUGGAGGUAGAUUCAAAAGGAAGGAUGGGUAAUGUUUUCUGGUCAGAUGCAAGGUCAAGACGAGCUUAUGGGUUUUUUUUCGAGAUGUGGUGGUAUUUGAUACGACAUUCAAUACGAACCGCUAUGGGAUGGUCUUUGCGCCUUUGUUAGGCAUUAAUAACCAUCGGCAUACAAUGUUGUUUGGUUGUGCAUUCCUAAUUAGUGAAACCACAGAUUCAUUUGUAUGGUUGUUAGAGGAAUUCAAGAAAGCCAUGCCGGGUGAGCAACCCAAAAUGAUCAUCACUGAUCAAGAUGCAGCCAUGUCAAAGGCAAUUGCUGUAACUCUCUCGACAACAUUCCAUAGAUAUUGCAUAUGGCAUAUCUUCAAUAAGAUUAUAGAGAAACCCGGCAUUGGAGAAUGUUUUUCGGAAAUGUGUAAAUGCAUAUGGGGUAUGGACAAGAAAGAAGAAUUUGAUGCGAAAGGGGAGGAAAUCAUCACAAACUAUGGGCUGCAAGACCAUACUUAGCUGAGCUCAACUCAGGCUAUGCGGGAGAAUUGGGUUCUAUCAUAUGUAAAACAUGUGUUUUCGGCUGAGAUGUCAAGUAGUCAACGGGCCAAAAGCUGUCAUUCAUUUUUCAAACAAUAUAUUAACCGAAAAAACACAUUGAUGUAAUUCAUUGUACUUUUUGAGAGAGCACUUGCUUCACAAUGACACAAGGAGUUAAUGGCUGAUCAUGUUGAUAACAAUGAAAAACCUCCACUGCCAUUUCAAACAUCAAUGCAACAUCAAAUGAGACGCAUUUACACUCGGAAAAUUCUGGAAAUGUUUGAGAGGGAAGACUUCAGAAGUCUUUUAUGCUUGUUCGAACUUGUAGAGCAAGAUGAGACGCACUGCAGAUAUAAAGUAAGUGAGCAGGUAAAUCCGGGGGUGACACAGAUGAAGGAGCUUGUGCAUGAUAAAGAUGCCGAUAAAGCUUAUUGCAGCUGCAAAGGAUUUGAAUUUUGGGGCACGGAGCGGUGUAAUAUAUGAUAAGAAUCACAAAGAAGUUAACGAUUACGUUGAUGGUUUGUUUUUGGUUAAGAGAUCGAAAGUUUUCAAAGUUGCAAGUGAUUUGACUGAUUCGGCUUUGUUGUGUGAUGAAGGUUUUGAGUUGCUGGAAAAAUCUUUUGAGGACAUUCGUGGGAAGCUUACAAGUUUGGUGUCAUCAAGAGCUCAUGUUGAAGAACCCAAUGGAGAUGUCGGAACUAGUUAUCCCCAACUCAGAAUCAAAGAUCCACAUCGAGUGAAAGUAAAAGGGCGUGCGAAAAGAGUUAAAGGAGAAAAAGAGCAGGCAGCACAAUGACAUAAACGUCGGUGCACUGAAUGUAGGAAGAUUGAUCAUGAUUGACGGAGUUGUCCAAAAUUUGCGAGCCCGUAACUGAAUAUGUGUUAUAUUGUGCUUUGAAAUUUAUGUUGUUGAUGUUUAUUAUUAUUAUUUUUCUGAUGUGGCGGCUCUUCAUCUUCCGACACAGAACUUGGUGGUCCAGUUGGUGAGAAUUUGCAGCCCACUCAGAGCACGCAGGACAAUGAACCUACUAUGACAGAGUCAUUUAUGCAAGAGUUUGAUUUCAUGUAUGGUCCUGAAGUUUGAACACUUAUUGAUACUUAUUUACAUUGUUUUUGAAAGUAACUGGAAUUGUUUUUGAAAGUAACUGGAAGCGUUAGUGAAUCUUAGGUAAAUGCCUCAUGUCCAUUGAUACUGAAUAAUGUUUUAUUAAACACAUAACUAUUUGGAAGAGUUUGAUUUCAUUUAUGGUCCCGGAGUUUUAACAUUUAUUGAUACCUAUUUACAUCUUUUUUGGUCGUGAAUGGCACCAUGCUUUCAAUAAUUAGGUGUAACUCGAAGUUUCGGAUCCAUCUUUUGUUGAAGAUGGAUGUCUCGGAUGCCCUCUGGGGCUUUGGAAUUUUCAGAACCUGAAGCCCUUGUUUGAAGGAGAAUGAGUUUGGGGGAAUCAUGCAAGGGGUUUUCUACACAAAUUUGCAAUGGUUGCAAUGAAUAUGAAAAUAUCCAAGGGAAUCUUGAAACCAUGACUAUGUGUUAGUAAGAGAAUCUUGAAACAAUCACUAUGUCUCUGUAAAGUCUCAACCAACGAAUAUCUGUAUCAGAGAAUCUUGAAACAAAUUAUCUCCUCACCGACAAUGAAUUAAACAAAAAAUUGUGAGCACUAUUACGAAAUGAAUGCUUCUAAUCCAGAAGUUAGUGAUCGAAUUGUGAUUGAACUCUAGGUUUGAUAGCAGUGUAAAAUGAAAUAAGCUGCACAUAAGCAAGAUUGGGCAUUAACAUUCAAACAGUAACCCAUAUUGGGCAUUCACAUUUAAACACUAACCGAGAUCGGGCAUUAACAAAAACAAAAAAUUGCUAAGGGAUUGCCUACGGAUUGAUAUGGGUAUCACUAGUCAUUAUUGUUGCCUUUUGCUGGUUGGUGGCCUUGCUCUGUUGGAUGUGCACCGCUGGAGAUGAUUUCCUGUGCAGCAGACGGGGUUAUGGCGUCCCAGUCAAUAUCUUUGUGGACAUCUGCAGCGAAUCGUCGGAAUUUCUCAAAACCUCCGUUGAAAGCCACAAACAUUGCCUGGCCUUGUUUGUCGCCUCCUUCGUGGAUGCUCAAAGAUCCGUACGUAGCAUCCUCCUCUGUCAUAUGCAAAUCCUCUACUAUGUGCUUUCUUCUUUGGGCACGAAUUCUCUGCUUCUCUUUUCUGUAACGAGCUUUGUUAACUUGCCGAGUCAAAUAAGCCAACUUCUGCUCAGCUCCGACACACUUUUGAGUCCAAUAAUGGACCAAGGAAGAGUUGUGUUCCAGUUUGUUCUUCAUAUCAUUUAUUUCCGCAGCGGGAUCAUCAGAGUCCCCCUCGCUUGCGGAGGAGGUUGGAAGAGGCAACGGUGGUGGAGGGGACUUUGGAUAAUCGGGGGCAUAUUCCCAUGAGCCAUCGGAGUCCCCCUGAUUCGCUUUGGUGCUUGAACUGGCAGACAUGUUGAAAAAAUCGUCAGAUUGAGGGAUUCGGCUGAAGGUUUGCAUGCAAAAAAGACGACUGGAAAGAAGAAAAGAGAGAUAUAAGGCAUGAGUAUCCCAUAGGCAUAAAACAACGUUUACAUAUUAUGUCCUGAAGUUUUCCAUUUCGUUUUUUCUCCUUUUGUCCCAUCACUUUAAUAUAUAUUUUUUUAAAAGUAAUCAGAGUAUUUGAUUUAGUUAAUCACAGGAGCCUCACAUGAUUAGUAAAAAUGUUAGCACACACUUGAAUUUUGAUUUAUCAAGUUUGAAUGAGUUCGUAGCAAUUUGCGAAUUUUUUUGCCAAUUUUUGUAUAUUUAGUUAUGAAUUUUGUAAGAAAAUAGCAAUAUUCAUUUAAAUUCACACGGAAAGGAAGGAUGUGGCAAUGGCCACUGGCGUACACGUGUGUACCUACUGAAGGGGGAUGCGGUCAGCUGUCGCCAUGUGUGUUAUUUCUUUAUGUUUUAAAUUUUUUAAUGCAAAAUGAUUUAAAAAAUGGUAAUAAAUAGGAGAAAAAUCGAUAAAUUACCCGGAAAAUUGCUUCCAGCUCCUUGUGCCGUUACAAAACUGGGGGAAGCUAUAAAUCAUCCAAAGUGAUUAUGAAAACUCAAUUUCGUACUUAAUUUCAUCUGAUGUGACAAUACAGAGUGAACACUCCAUCUUUGGAAUAUGGUGAUAACUUGCUUUCCUUUGAACCGUAACAUUAUAUUUUGCAAAAAUUAGAAGUAUACUUCCUUACUGUUCAUUAUCUAAUUUAUAAGAACACAAGUAUCAGUUUCAUUUGCUUCAUAUAUAAUUGUUCGGAAAAAUAUUUCUAUAUUUUCUCCUUUCAAUUGACAGACACAAUAUGGUUCUUGUUAUUUCAUUGCUAAAAUUAUAUAUUUGAAACCAAUAAGCAAACCUAUAAAAUGCCAAGUUACGAACAUAAUUAGCUACCAUAUAAGUGAUCAAAUAAAUGCUCAAAUCUCAAAACUCACCCAAUUACUUAAAAAAGGGGGAAACAAAAACAGACUUCCAAAUAAAUUUAUUCAGCAUUGUAUUUACUAAUAUAUUUUUUUGUAUAGCUGCAUUAUUUUAUUCAAAUGACCCAAAAUGGAAACACAUAAGGGCAUUUACCUCAUAUAUAAAUAUGCUAUGAACAUACAGAGUAUCGACUAAGUUUUAUAUUUUAUAUUACUAGAUUAUAUUGUAUACAAAUCUUAAGCCACACUACUUAUUUAUUUAGUUAACUUCCAAUAUAUAUAUAUAUAUAAACAUUGUUAUAUUGUCUUCUAAGUAUGUAUUAUAUAUAUUCAUUAUGUUGUCUUACUACUCUUUUUUCUUUUCAACAUAGUAGUUAAAUAAUUGGUUUUUUCUUCCCUAAUGGGGAGGGCCAUGGAAAUGGCAUACCCACCCCCGAUUCAACCCAUUGCCAUCCCUAAACGAACAAGAUAAAGCCAACCCUCCAUUACUUGAUUACUAUGCGACAUAAAUACAUGGAUUAUCAACAAAUCCACCUAUGUUGUUUCUAUUCCAUGCCUUUUAGGCGUUAUAAAAUAACACAAAGAAAUAUGUGAUCAGAAAAUAAUAUAAACAAACUUCAUGAAAGCACAACAAUUUAUGUAGACAAAAGUACGCUUAAAAAACCCAAAACAGUUUCCCCAUUUGUUUACAGUUGUCCUUCAAACCAGAGUUUUUACACCUUCAGGAGCCCACACAAAAUGCCAAAAAACGUACUCAAAAUGAACCACACAUUUGUUCCGAACAAAAUACUAAAAACCCCCAAAAUGAACUUUCUCCAGCGACAGUUUACUCCAUGGCGAUCCCGUCCCAGUUGUAGCUUGGGACAACACAUCUUGCAAACUCGCAGAACAGCUCAAACCCUUUGCGUGCUUCUGCUUCCCUCAUCUGCACAGACUCAUUCGAAGUACUAAACCUUCGAUCACCUUUUCCUUUCGCAAGCCUAACCCUCACUUUCAUUAUUUGGACUGAUCGAAGGUGGAAUUUCGCUUUCUUUUUCUCCUUCCCCAAUGUUUCUUGAUACCAUCUUAGACGUAUCUUCAGGCGUUUGAUUUCCAUGAUCAACGCAUCAUACCGCAUCUUGCCGAUCCGAGCUACAUCAUCAUGGUCCUCAGAUGAAAAGUUUAUGGACUUCGCAGCUCCAUCAGCAACAUCUUCAGCUUUAUUAUUCCUCUGUGACAAAGGUUCUGCAUUUUUUGCUGGAGAUGUAAUAAGUGUUGGGGGGAUUUUUGUAGGGGAACCCAUUCUGAGUUUAGGCUUGUUUGGAGCAAGUGGAGGUGCAAUGGGAGGUAAAAUACUCUUACAUUGGUAUUUAUAGAGUAGUCCCCAUUUUCAUUUUACCCGCCAAAAUGCCAAUGUUGACUUCGAGUGGGGAGCUGCAACUUUAGUUACCCUAAGAACUGGUGAUGUCAUAUUUGCAUUAUUUGUAUCAUAUACGAUAUUUUAAUUUUCUUUACCGUUUGUAUUUAGUAUCAUAUUUGCAAAGAUGAAACUGUUGACUUGGUCAUGUUCAAAUGUAAGUUACCUUCAUAACUUGUGAUGUGAUAUUUGCAUUAUAAGUACCACAAGCACAUUUUUUUGUUUCUUUACUGGUGAUAUGAGUUCAUAUUUAGUAUCAUAUUUCAGAAGAUGUAAUUGUUUACUUGCUCAUGUUAAAUUCAGAUUACCUUCAUAACUGGUGAUGUCAUAAAACACUGUUUUCAUUUUCUUUACUGUUAAUGGUGCGUUCAUUUUAAUAUCAUAUUUCAGAGGAUGAAAUUGUUUACUUGCUCCUGUUAAAUUCAGAUUACUUUCAUAACUGGUGAUGUCAUAAACACUGUUUUCAUUUUCUGUACUGUUAAGGUGCGUUGAUAUGAUAUUUAGUUUCAUACUUGGCUGUUAAAUUAUUCACAUGGUCAUGUUAAAAUGCAACGAAUUUUACCUCCAUAAGUAGUGAUGUGAUAUUUGCAUAAUUAUUAUCAUAAAAAGUAUAUUUAAUUUUUUGACUGCUGACGUUGAUUAGUAGUAUCAUAAAUGCGAACACCCACGAGGUGUACCUAGGCAUGGAGCCGCGAGAAGACCAAUUUGCAGCCAAAACCUGGAUCAUCGAGGUGUGUGAACUGUCCUUUCAGUUACACUGGUUAGGAAACGAAGCCAAUAAUACAUGAUCUAAACCCAAUGUUGUCUUUGUCCAUAGUUUAGGUGACGACGGUUCGUUCCAAUAUAUAUCUUUCUUCCUGAUUUGUCCAGACACACCGUUCAUUAUUCCUCCACAUACCUUUUGCACUCCCUCUUCUCCAACAAACCAGAUGGACAUCCCAGACUUGACAUGGUUUAAGGUGCUGCUUUUGGUUGCAAAGCACUCCUCUGAAGAUCUGUACAGCAUGGCGGGGACAUGCAAGUUAUUUGUAGAAAUGCUAAAUGAUCCUGAGGUUUGGCGAAUCGUGUCUCUAGAGAAGUACCAGUGGCAUCCUGAAUGGUACGGGUUUUAUCAAGAGAAACUUGUUGAGUUCUUGCAAAAGUGCAAGGAACACAACAAUCCAGAAAUCAUUUACAGAGAAGCUGUAACUCAAUUCUUCAUAUUCAAAGAUGAUGAGGCAACAACUUCCGGGUGGCGGCUAAGGUAGGGCAUAUGGAAUCCUCCUACAUUGUUGGCUUGUUAGGGCUGGUGAACCCUACGGAGGGUGAAGGGGAUGCGAUGGAAUUGUUGUGCCAUCUAAGCAAAACGAAGAAAAUUGACAUGCAAACAUGCAGGGCAUCAAUUAUGAAUCGACUGAUGAGGUAUACAAUUUCGAGCAUAGUGACUCCUCCAACUCUUGCAAAGUUUACUGCUGACAGAAAUUUUUUUCUUAACUGCGUUAAGUGUGAGGGUAAUCGGGAGUUGUAUUUCUCAUGGGACCUGGAACUGCUGUGAACCCUGCAAAUGGAAGAGGGAGUUGUACUGCUUCCAGCGCGAACUUUGUAGGCAGACCUGUUGGAUUUAAUAAAUUAAAUAUCCAUGGUAUGAUAUGGGUAUUAAAGUGUGUUUUGGGUUUUGUUUGUUUUUAUUUACAGGGAAAGUUUACCUUCUGUUUAAUGUUUUUAAUUCAAGGUUUGUUUAUGGUAAUGUUGUAGAUGUUUGUGGUUUUAAGUCCUGUUUCUGGUUUGAAGGUCUGUUUUUGUAAUCGGUGCACUUUUAAGAUCCAAUUUAAGUACAGGUUUGUAGACGUUUGUGUUCCAUAGACCUUUGUAGCUUGCGUGCAUAUCUUUUGGAUGGUUUUGGGUCCUAUGGUUUGACUAUGAGUUCUGAAAUGGGGAAUUGCUAGUUCCGAUUCCCGAAGCAGUCAUUCAUUGAAAAUGACAGACACCCAAAUGCCAGGGAGGUUGCGUGUUGUCAAAGCAUGAGGGAUUAUCCUUUCAGUCAGAUCGGGUCUGAGCCAUCCUUGAUCUUCUAAGAUACUCUGGUGAUCCUUUAAUUACGUUUUCAAUUUCCCCACAUUUCUUGAUUUGUCCUGCAUUUGAAACUAUAUUUGAAAGAUAAAAAAUAGUUUAAUAAAGAAAUCCGAAAUUCUAUUUUCACUAACAUAAUGAUUUAAAUAUUGAAUUUAAGGGGGGGGGGGGGGGGGGGGGGGGGGGGGGGGGGAAAAAAAGGGGGGGUUUUUCCCCNNNNNNNNNNNNNNNNNNNNNNNNNNNNNNNNNNNNNNNNNNNNNNNNNNNNNNNNNNNNNNNNNNNNNNNNNNNNNNNNNNNNNNNNNNNNNNNNNNNNGAAUUGUACGAUUUCAAGGACCAAUCGAUAUCGGAUUGAGUCCAAAACUUGGGGAACAUCAUAAUCUUGUGGGAGGAGUCAUAUGGUGGGUUUUGAGUGAAAUCCAAUCUCUAGAACUAUACAAUACACCAACCACCCCAUUUCAGAAUGAACUUCGUAGGAACCUGAAUUGUCCGAUUUCAAGGACCAAUCGAUAUCGAAUUGAGUCCAAAACUUGGGGAACAUCAUAAUAUUGUGGGAGGAGUCAUUUGGUAGGUUUUGAGUGAAAUCCAAUCUCUAGAACUAUACAAUACACCAACCACCCCAUUUCAGAACGAACUUCGUACGAACCUGAAUUGUCCGAUUUCAUUGACCAAUCGAUAACGAAUUGAGUCCAAAACUUCGAGGAACAUCAUAAUAUUGUGGGAGGAGUCAUUUGGUGGGUUUUGAGUGAAAUCCAAUCUCUAGAACUAUACAAUACACCAACCACCCCAUUUCAGAACGAACUCGUACUAACCUGAAUUGUCCGAUUUCAUUGACCAAUCGAUAACGGAUUGAGUCCAAAACGUGGGGAACAUCAUAAUAUUGUGGGAGGAGUCAUUUGGUGGGUUUUGAGUGAAAUCCAAUCUCUUGAACUAUACAAUACACCAACCACCCCAUUUUAGAACGAACAUCGUACGAACAUGAAUUGUCCGAUUUCAUUGACCAAUCGAUAACGAAUUGAGUCCAAAACUUGGGGAACAUCAUAAUAUUGUGGGAGGAGUCAUUUGGUAGGUUUUGAGUGAAAUCCAAUCUCUAGACUAUACAAUACACCACCACCCCCAAUUUCAGAACGAACUUCGUGCGAACCUUGAAUUGUCCGAUUUGAAGGACCAAUCGAUAUCGGAUUGAGUCCAAAACUUGGGGAACAUCAUAAUCUUGUGGGAGGAGUCAUUUGGUGGGUUUUGAGUGAAAUCCAAUCUCUAGAACUAUACAAUACACCAACCACCCCAUUUCAGAAUGAACUUCGUAGGAACCUGAAUUGUCCGAUUUCAAGGACCAAUCGAUAUCGAAUUGAGUCCAAAACUUGGGGAACAUCAUAAUAUUUUGGGAGGAGUCAUUUGGUGGGUUUUGAGUGAAAUCCAAUCUCUAGAACUAUACAAUACACCAACCACCCCAUUUCAGAACGAACUUCGUACGAACCUGAAUUGUCAAAUUUCAUUGACCAAUCGGUAACGGAUUGAGUCCAAAACUUGGGGAACAUCAUAAUAUUUUGGGAGGAGUCAUUUGGUGGGUUUUGAGUGAAAUCCAAUCUCUAGAACUAUACAAUACACCAACCACCCCAUUUCAGAACGAACUUCGUACGAAACUGAAUUGUCCGAUUUCAAGGACCAAUCGAUAUCGGAUUGAGUCCAAAACUUGGGGAACAUCAUUAUAUUGUGGGAGGAGUCAUUUGGUGGGUUUUUAGUGAAAUCCAAUCUCUAGAACUAUACAAUACACCAACCUCCCAUUUCAGAACGAACUUCGUACGAACCUGAAUUGUCCGAUUUCAAGGACCAAUUGAUAUCGGAUUG